CCUACGGGAGGCAGCAGUCGAGAAUCAUUCACAAUGGGGGCAAGCCUGAUGGUGCGACGCCGCGUGUGGGAAGGAAGGUCUUCGGUUUGUAAACCCCUGUCAUGUGGGAGCAAAGGAAAAAGAUAGUACCACACGAUGAUGAGAGGGCUAUCUCUGUGCGAGCAGCCGCGGUACUACAGAGGGCUCAAGCGUUGUUCGGAAUCACGGGGCGUAAUGCGUGUGCAGGGUGUUUCGUAAGUCGUGUGUGAAAGGCGCGGGCUCAACCCGCGGACGGCAUAUGAUACUGCGAGGCUAGAGUAAUGGAGGGGGAACUGGAGUUCUAGGUGUAGCAGUGAAAUGCGUAGAUAUCGAGAAGAACACUCGUGGCGAAGGCGGGUUCCUGGGCAUUAACUGACGCUGAUGCACGAAGGCGAGGGGAGCGAAAGGGAUUAGAUACCCCGGUAGUC
rnacentral:rRNA from 1 species